rnacentral:rRNA from 1 species
GAUGAACGCUGGCGGCGUGCCUCAAACAUGCAAGUCGAGCGGGGCUAUGUAAUAUCGCAAGGUAGAACAUAGCCUAGCGGCGAACGGGUGAGUAACACGUGGGUAACCUGCCUGGAAGACAGGGAUAACGAUUCGAAAGGGUCGCUAAUACCUGAUAAUAUCCUUUCAUCGCAUGGUGAUAGGAAGAAAGGGGAAACCCGCUUUCAGAUGGGCCCGCGUCCCAUCAGCUAGUUGGUAAGGUAAAGGCUUACCAAGGCGACGACGGGUAGCCGGUCUGAGAGGAUGUACGGCCACACUGGGACUGAGAUACGGCCCAGACUCCUACGGGAGGCAGCAGUUGGGAAUCUUAGGCAAUGGACGAAAGUCUGACGGAGCAACGCCGCGUGGGUGAAGAAGGCCUUCGGGUUGUAAGCCUGUCUUAUGGGAAGAAAAAAUAGACGGUACCAUAGGAGGAAGGCCACGGCUAACUACGUGCCAGCAGCCGCGGUAAUGAGUAGUACAA